ACUAUCUGGCUUUACCAAUGAGUGGCGCAAUCUUUUAAUUUCUGUCCAAAUGCACAGAGGCCUAAUCCCUCAAUCCAUUUUUCAACUCUCCAUUUCUGGCAGUACUUUUCUGUGGAGAGGCCCCACCUCAUCCAGCAUGGCUGCCUUAAUUAUGUCAUAAUCUCUUGCCCGCUAAUCACUAAGAGCCAUAUAUGUGCUUCCCCGGUUAAAUAGGGUGUCAGUCGAAGGGCCCACAUUGUUCUGUCCCUAUGAGGUCUCACUGCUGCUCCUUUAAGAGUAACCAAAAACACAUCAGGGUUGUUUGCAUGUCCCAUUUUACAGAGUCUGAUCUCCCAUGCCUGGUUUCCAUUUCCUGUCACAGGACUUGGCAAACUUUGGGGGAGUUGUUGCCAGACCUGGGCUUGCUCCCAUAUAAAUUCCUGAAGGCUCUUUUGCUGUUAAACCUAUCAGGCUUUCUAUCCAAGCAUUAGAGUCCGUGCUUUUCAAAGUUGGGAAUGAGAGACUGGUGAGAGCACUCAGGGAGCAGAGAACAUGGAGUCUGCUUGAAAACCCCUAGACUCACCAUGAGGGAGUGUGUCUGCUGGUGAGUGUUCCGCUAAGAUCUGGACUAAUAACACCUGAGAUCAUACAGCGCCUCCUCCCCUGGGUGAAUUCCCCAAUGGAGAACUGCUGAGUCACCGGCACAGCUUUCCUUGCCCAGGUCCUAGCACAAUGGGAAUCUGGUCUGUGACUGGGACUAUGAGGCAGUACGCAAUAGAAAUAAUCACAUGCUGAUCUACAGAAAUACUUUUGUACCCUGGCCUCUCCACUGGCUUAAGAGAUUAGUCACUGAAAAUGGAAGUAUGUGAACUUGACAUCUGCAGUUUAACUCAGUCCCUUCAUCUCCUGCACUGAGUGUUCUUUCUGCUCAGUACACGCUGUCUGAAUGCACAGGAGAACCGUGAUGGAUGGUGACAAAGAGCCUGGAGACUUUUUCCCCAUUUGAUGGGUCUUGUGGUGAGCUGGGUCAUGUAUAUGGACCUGGAGAAGAAAGAGGAGGUGGCAUUCAUUUGGAUGAAGAGGAAUUUUGGACAAUGGAUUAUGUCUGGAAAGGCAGGUGUUCUGUUUCACUGAUCAGCUCUCCCCCGAAAGUGCAGUGAAGCAACAAGCAUUAGCUUCAGACUCUUGCGGCAACUUUAUGUACAGUGAAUUUCAUUGCAUAUGUCCCGCUUGCUGAUGCCACCAUGGCAAUAGGUAACACAUGAAUACAAGCCAAGUUUGAUUUAAAAAAAAAAAUUGCCUCGGGUUAGGCGGUUGUGUUCAUAUCUAGGUCCCCAAAUAAAUGGCUUGACUUGUACUAGCACUGAGUGCUAAGAAAUUCCCAAUAGGUACUCAUUUUUAAAAACAAUAUUGGGCAAAGUCCACUGGGAGUAUGACGCAGUUUUGCUAUAUAGAAAGAGUAGCAAGCUCCAGCAAACAGGCUGCUUUCAAUUAUCCUUGCACUAUACCCAUUUUUGGAGAAUGACUUUAGUCUAAGUCUAACUUUUCUAUGUUGCAGCUGUGCGGGUAUUGUAUUUUCACUAACCCCAUCUCCCAGGCACCCGGGAGAUGCAAGGGGCUAAUUAUCUGUAUUGUAAAGUUUGAGCUGAGGUUUUGGAGGGGGGAAACCCAGAGCUGGCGUUGUUGGGCAAAGUAAUGUAAAAC